rnacentral:rRNA from 1 species
UCGAGAAUUUUUCUCAAUGGGGGCAACCCUGAAGGAGCGACGCCGCGUGGAGGAUGAAGGUCUUCGGAUUGUAAACUCCUGUCAUUAGGGAACGAUUGCUCGUGGAGCAACUGUCGCGAGCUUGAUAGUACCUGAAGAGGAAGAGACGGCUAACUCUGUGCCAGCAGCCGCGGUAAUACAGAGGUCUCAAGCGUUGUUCGGAUUCAUUGGGCGUAAAGGGUGCGUAGGUGGCGGGGCCAGUCAGGUGUGAAAUCCCGGGGCUUAACCCUGGAACUGCAUUUGAUACUGCCUUGCUGGAGAACUGGAGAGGAGACUGGAAUUUACGGUGUAGCAGUGAAAUGCGUAGAGAUCGUAAGGAAGACCAGUGGCGAAGGCGAGUCUCUGGACAGUUACUGACACUGAGGCACGAAGGCCAGGGGAGCAAACGG